rnacentral:rRNA from 1 species
GAUGAACGCUAGCGGCAGGCCUAAUACAUGCAAGACGAACGGUAAGUUGAGUAGCAAUACUUAGCCAAGAGUGUCGUACGGGUGCGUAACACGUAUGCAACCUACCCUAUACAGGAGGAUAGCCUAGGGAAACCUGGAUUAACCCUUCAUAGUAUUAUUGGAUGGCAUCAUUUGAUAAUUAAAACUGAGGUGGUAUAGGAUGGGCAUGCGUCUGAUUAGUUAGUUGGCGGGGUAAUGGCCCACCAAGACGAUGAUCAGUAGGGGUUCUGAGAGGAAGAUCCCCCACACUGGCACUGAGAUACGGGCCAGACUCCUACGGGAGGCAGCAGUAGGGAAUAUUGGUCAAUGGAUGCAAGUCUGAACCAGCCAUGCCGCGUGCAGGAAGAAGGCCUUCUGGGUUGUAAACUGCUUUUGCCAGGGGAUAAAAUUUCCAUGCGUGGAAAACUGGAGGUACCUGGUGAAUAAGCCACGGCUAACUACGUGCCAGCAGCCGCGGUAAUC